rnacentral:rRNA from 1 species
UGGGGAGUAUUGGACAAUGGGGGAAACCCUGAUCCAGCCAUGCCGCGUGAGUGAUGAAGGCCUUCGGGUUGUAAAGCUCUUUUGGCGGGGAAGAUGAUGACGGUACCCGCAGAAUAAGCCCCGGCUAACUACGUGCCAGCAGCCGCGGUAAUACGUAGGGGGCAAGCGUUGUCCGGAUUUACUGGGUGUAAAGGGCGCGCAGGCGGGAUAAAAAGUCAGUGGUGAAAUCCUACAGCUUAACUGUAGAACUGCCUUUGAUACUUUUAUUCUUGAGUUCGGGAGAGAGAGACGGAAUUCCAGGUGUAGUGGUGAAAUACGUAGAUAUCUGGAAGAACACCAGUUGCGAAGGCGGUCUCUUGGUCCGACACUGACGCUGAGGCGCGAAAGCGUGGGGAGCAAACA